UACGGGGGGUGCGAGCGUUGUCCGGAAUCACUGGGCGUAAAGGGCGCGGAGGUGGUCUGAUAAGGGUGUGGUGAAAGCCCGGGGCUCAACCCCGGGUCGGCCGUGCCGACUGUCAGACUAGAGUGCUGUAGGGGCAGGCGGAAUUCCGGGUGUAGCGGUGGAAUGCGUAGAGAUCCGGAGGAAGACCGGUGGCGAAGGCGGCCUGCUGGGCAGAUACUGACACUGAGGCGCGACAGCGUGGGGAGCAAACAGG
rnacentral:rRNA from 1 species